AAAGCCACCAGCGCCUCGCACGAGCACGACCCUGCCCCUCGAUCCCAUCUACACCUCCUUCCCGCCGCCACCUCCUGCCCCGCGCCGCCCGCCCCACACCGCCUCGAUCGGGACCGCGUCCCUCCCCAAACGACGGCAAUGAUGGAGGGCGCCGCCCAGCUCCUGGCCGACGGAUUCGCUGGCUCCCCGCACCUCGGGGCCAGCCCCUCCCCCGUGCCGAGUCGAGCAUCGACUUGGAGGCCCCUUGGGGCUGCCGCCGGUGCGGGAGUCCCGCGCGGCCGUGCGGGCUGGGGACCGAUUGGCGGGGCCCGUGGUGCGACGCUCGAUGGAUGGCCUGCACAGCGCGGACGACUGCUUCUCUCCCAGGAGGGCCAUAGGCAGCCACUACAUGUCGGAGCUGUUGCAGGAGCACCAGAAGCUUGUCCUGUUCACACAGGUGCUACCAAUCUGCAUCAAACUGUUGGGCCACCGUGAGAGCCUCGAUUCGCUCCCUCGCCGCCGCCCGGUCUACCAUUAUUGGCCUAGGUCUGAUUGCUUAUGUUUCUCUCUUGUUGAUGCAAACUUGCUCUGCUUGACUCUGUUUUGGCCUCAAGGCAUCUCACUUGUCACAUAUUGUUAUCAACUCAGGUAUGGUAUCUGGAAAAAAUUUAUUCUACCAAGAGAACAUUUCUUACUUUGGUUUCUAGGCAAUAUGAAAGUAAUGAGUAAACAUAACCCGCUGAAACAAAAACAUGGUGAAGUAGCUGACUGUAGAUUUUGCUUGGAGAUGAUACUGUUCACUGUCCAUAUUUUGUUUGUAUGGUGGCUGUACUUUGUAACGCUAGCAUGGAUGUCUGUUAUAAAAUAUACAGUAUCUAGAUUUUUGCUGGGUAAAGAAAUUUGCAGCUCUGAAUACUUUAUAUUUCCCAGUUGUUCUUAAUUUCGGCAGUAUGCAUGGGAACGCUGGGAUGACGUGUUUCAGAGAAUUCAGUGGCUUGGUUCAACUAUACAAGGAUCAUUUCAACGCAAAGGACUCUCGUGUUACAUCCUAUUGACCACUGCAGUGUGUACUCCUGGAAUUGAUAGCGAAUGAAAGCGCCAUAGACAUUGCAGGAGAGAUAAAAUUUCUAUAUGUUAUUAGGUCUCACCAAUUUGUACUGCUGUUCACUCUGUAGUCUGGGAUUAAUUAGCUGUGCUGCAAGGAUUCCAACUUUAAAAGUCAUGCUGCAAGGACAAGUCCUCUGUAUGAUUCUUCAGUACAGUUCAAAAUAAAUCACGAUGCAGAGCAGAUUCAGUCUUUUGAUUUUAGACAAUGAAGAGUUUCAUUGCUCUUAAGGUCUUUGUUUGCCUUUUUAGGGGAGGUCUUUGUUUGCUUGGAUUGAUGCGCACGGUUGACACAAUUUACAAAAAAUUUUGACUGACGGCAUAGACCAUAGUUUCAGUUUUACAAUGUGUCCAAAGAGAGUAUAAUACUGAUGCACCAUUUAUUUCAGAGAAGAAAAAGGUUCCAUGAGGGUGUCUAUUACAGAACUGGAGAAAGAGCUCGCCUACCAUGCAUGUUGCCUGGUCCGAUGAGCAGUGCUACGCCAAGUGCCCUGUCAGAGUGCAGCCGCACAACGUUGCCUGCUGUUGAGGACCCCGGAGCCUAGACAGUUAGCUCGGCAACUUCCAGCCCCCCACCGUCUUUCUUGACAGCCACGGCACCCAUCUUUUCGUCUAUGCCUCAUUGGAUGCACUUCCAUUGUAUGUAAUGUUAGAUAUACACAAUCAUAGAUACAUAUAUGAUCUUCCACCUCGGCUCCUAUACUGAUAAGAUUUGUGUUGAUACAUGAUUCUCAACAAAGUGUGCUACCAAACUUUUUCACGAAAAGUGUAGUACCAGUUGGUGUGAUAUCAUGUCCUCAGCAACGCCCCCGAUGGAUUGACCAUGACCAUGUUGUUGCCUGGAAUCUUUUUUCAUGAUGAUGUCGCUAUUCGUCAUCCCACAGUUUAUGCGGUGGAGCGUCAACGACCUCAGCGUGUUGCAGGAGAAGACCAUGAAUAUCGGCAAGAAAGAUGUAGGUUGAUCAAGGAAGGUGCAACACUGUGGUGUGAGUUGAACACAAGCAUGGCCUACAAUCUCGACGCCCACCAUCCAUGUGCCUUGCAAGCAGCAAUUGUUCACAUCCUUGAUAUUUGUCACUGCCCUCUUCUCAUCUAUCCCGACAGUCUCGGUGUCCAGGCAAGGUAUGUCUAUGUCAGUUGAACUGUCACUCGAGUUACAACAAUUCCAAUCUUUUUUCUAUAUUUAUCUACCAUUAUCCCAGAAGGGAAACAUAAUACUAAACUGCCAUAAAAAAUAUUUGAGGGCUUACAUCAUCGUUGAGGUCAAAUUUGUAUCUUUAUUAUCACCCUAAUAAAACAUGGUUUUGCUAAUUGACUUCAUCUUAUUUCAACUUUGUUAGUUCAGUUCACGUGCUCUGUUAGAGACCAACCCCAAUGUGUAUGCUACAACCACUGAAAGAAGUAUGUUGCCUUGAUGUUUUUAAUUCAGUUAAUUUGUAUUAAUUGUGUGGCAUCAUCAUGCAAGGUAAAUGCAGAGCUAUACUUUCUAUUCUCGUGCCUUCUAUUAAAAUCAUGCAGAUGCUCAGGUCAUCGUUGUUCAUAUGUUUUGACUCUUGUCGAGCCUCUUCUGUGAGGCACACAUAGUUUGGGAGUAUGCCUAUGGCAAUUUAUCUAUUUCCAUGAUUGAAGAGACAUUUUUAAAUUGAACAAAACAAAUUAUAUGAGAGGCAUAUGUUUUGUUUUUGCUGUCCCAAACUACAGAGAGCCUUGCAAAUUUCCAGGACUCUGUUUCCUCUUGGAACUCUCCUAACUAUGCAUUCUUGAUCACUGUCGAACAUUGAUCGACAGACUGCUCUGUUUACAAACUCUAUUUUUUCUAGGUUUUCUUGUGAAAAUUGAUGAUACCCCAAUGCAGAGCCUUUUGUAGCCUUGUUGCUGGUGACAGAUUUUAGACCAUAACCUAAAUGUAGGCAUUAAACACAACAAGGUCAGGAUAUGAUAAUGGCCCAAGGUCGUGCCGACAAAUCUGGAAAUACUCUAGAACAAAAUAAUAAUCUGGCAAUGGCCCAAGAGAGCUGUUAGUUCUUGGAUUUUUGUACCCUCAUGCUAAUACUUAACUGUUACAAUUUUUAUUGUUCUUCUCAUUAUAUGUACCUAAUAAUGAUUUAGUUCAUUUCUGGAUGCUUGGACUAAGUCACUGCCAACUUUCUGUAACUUACAGCCUUCGCUUCUUAAGGAAUUGGAGCACUACACUCCCAUUUGUUAAUAGUUACACAUGGUGUACGCCUGUAUGAGUACUCAAUGUUGUUGUCUGAUGUCUGUACAUUUGUUUGAGCACCACACGAUCUCAUGAAAGAUUUGUAUUGCUCAUCUUAGUCCAAACUGAUGAUGAUGUGUUUUUUUGUAUGGCCUAGAGUGUAUAUGGUUAUCAAAAGAUAACGGAACGA